GAUGAGGUGGCCGAGUGGUUAAGGCGAUGGACUGCCAAUCCAUUGUGCUCUGCAUGCAUUGGUUCGAAUCCCAUCCUCAUCG
rfam:Salmo salar isolate Sally breed double haploid chromosome ssa04, whole genome shotgun sequence.